CCGUUUCUAGAAGCUACCUUCGCAUUCACUAAUCUUCCACAUGGAACCAAGUUCUAAUUUAAUUUUGCAUGCAAUCACUCUCUCUUCUUUGUUCAUUGAGCCUUCACAAUUUCCUGAAGCUACUAAAUCCAGAAACCCAUAGCCUGUUAAAGAAAAAAAACGUUGUCUUCUUGAGAAAGAACGCCACUCAGGCCAGUUCUGCUUCUUCUGAUUUUGCAUGCAAUCGUUUGUACCUAUGUUCUAGGACUUUGAUUUGGUUGCUUCGACUGCUCUUUCCUGUGAGUUCUUUUUUUUUUUUUUUUAAAUAAAAAUAAAAAUUCUCCCCUCGAUUGGGUUGUUGGAAAAUGUCAGACAUGGAUAUAUCUGUAGUUAAGGAUUUAUUUUCAAACUUCUAAAUUCCUCAAUUUCACAUAUUUUUUCUGGCUUUGGACAAUAUAAUAUUCAUGUUAUUGACUUGGCACAAUAACAUGAUUAUGCAUCUAAGGUAUUUUAUUAUAUGCCUGAAAGAACUGAAGUGUUUUUGGACUCUUUCUUUUACAGGUCCUACAACAGAGCUCUCAUCAGGAAUCCAAAAGGUAUAUUUUUCACUUCUAAUGGACGAUAUUGGUAUGUGUAUGUGCAACAUUUAUGAUCACAUAUUCUACUUCCUUGCAUGUGUAUUUUCAUUGCACUAUUCCUUUACAUUAGAUAUAUAAAUUAUAGAGUACUCGUGAAAUCACUUUCUUAAGACUUUUUGAUAUGUUUGGAUCAAGCCAUUGUAAGUGAUUUCUGUGUCUCUGGCUUCGAAAGAGCACAUUGUUGUUGUUGAUUUCUGUGCCAAUAUGUGAUUCAUUUAGUUGGAACAUAACGGUCACAAUUUCACAGGUUUUUGGAAGUGAAAGUUGUUCAAGAUAGGAAGAAAAGUACAUUGCCUCGACUAUAAGAGAGGAUUAUUUGAAAGGAGAUGAAGAAAUUUAAAUCGUAACCAGAUUGUUGCUGCAGCAAGUAAUAGAGUCAAAAGGAAAAUACAAGCUCCGUGUAAUGUUCCUCCUUUUUAUAUUUCAGGUAGGCAAUUUUUCCUUUUUCCAAUGUCUAAAGAACUCUAUGUUUUGCAUGUGUCCCUUUUACUUUUGUUUUAUGCUGUUGAGUAGUAUUUGCAGUUUGUGUAAGUUCACAGUUAUGUAGUUUAUGAGCAAUAGUAGCCUGGUGAAAGACAUUUAGUCCUUAUAAUUUUUCCCUGUAAAAAUAUGAAAUAUAAGACCGUAACUCAAAGGCGGACCAGGAUUUGAGAAUAGUGGGGGUACUACUAUUCUGUGGCUACAAAAUGUCGGGAAAAACAUUUUGUGCGAAUACUAAAGCGGGGAAUCGACUUCUAGCACUGGUAAAUCAAACUUGAGUUGAUUAUGGGGCAAGGGAAGAUUAAUUCUUAUAGUGUUUCUCUUAUCUUUAACAGGCUGGAGAGGUCUCUCAAGCAUGUUAGUUUUGCAAUUUUGGACCUAAAGUGCACUUUUCCAUUCUAAUUUUCUGCAAAUACUUGAUAAUAUUGUGUAACACAUCAAACUUUCUCUUUAUUUAGCACCAAAGUCAUUUUAAUAAUUAGGCAAGAUAUCUUGCUUGGGUUCUUCCUGUAAUUGGCAGGUUCUAAUACCUUUCUCAAGGAGUUUAGAAGGAAAUUAAAGCAGAAGCUCAGUAUAACGCAUGCAGGUAAGUGAUCGAUCUUCCAAGUGAAGGCUCUGUCUCAUGGAAGAUGAGAGUAUUUGCAUCUCGUAAGUAACAAUACUGUUCUGAAGAUGCCCGAUAAUUGGCGACUCUUUGGUCUUGAAACUUUCUGUGAAAAACACAAGCAAUGGUGUUGAUGUGUUCAUAUGUAGCAGUUAGACGAGAUUUCAAUCAAUGAAGCCCGAUUUUGUGUUGGUGAAGGCCUUUUUGGGUUAGCUCUGUCAGAAGGCAAAUGUAGUCAUUCAAUUGAAGACGCGUCUAAGUAUGGACAUAAAAAUUUCAGUCCUUGUGUUGUAUCAUAUUAAAAUUGUUAAUGUUAAUUUGAAGGGAUAAAAACUAGAGCCUGC